rnacentral:rRNA from 1 species
CCUACGGGUGGCAGCAGUGAGGAAUAUUGGUCAAUGGGCGGAAGCCUGAACCAGCCAAGCAGCGUGAAGGAUGAAGGCACAAAGGGUUGUAAACUGCUUUUAUAAGGGAAUAAAGCGCAUUACGUGUAGGGCUUUGCAUGUACCUUAUGAAUAAGGAUCGGCUAAUUCCGUGCCAGCAGCCGCGGUAAUACGGAGGGGCCGGGCGUUAUCCGGAUUUAUUGGGCUUAAAGGGUGCGUAGGCGGCGUGUUAAGGCAGCGGUGAAAUGUCCGGGCUCAACCCCGGCCCUGCCGCUGAACCUGGCGGUCUUGAGUCGGCGAGAAGCAGGCGGAAUUCGGCGUGUAGCGGUGAAAUGCUUAGAUAUCACGAAGAACCCCGAUUGCGAAGGCAGCUUGCUGCAUCGGAACUGACGCUGAUGCUCGAAAGCGCGGGUAUCGAACAGGAUUAGAUACCCUUGUAGUC